AGAAGUAAUCAAUGGCUUCUACUCUGUUUGGAUUCACACAGCCUUGUGUUACCAAGGAGAUCUUUAGAGUAGCGAUAGCAGAGAUCGAAAUUGAGUCAUUGAGAUCUCAAAAUAGGCAGCUGCAAUGCCUGCUGGAGGAGAGCCAAAGGUACCAAGCGGAGGUUUUCGCCGAUCUGGAGAAGAUGAGGAAAAGAUUGCAUGAGGAAUGCUUUUCUACUCAAUUCGGGGAAUCUGUUCUUCAUUCCAUGGCUUAUAAUGACGAGAUGACUUGUCUGAAACAGCAAUUGCUGCAAAUCCAAGAUCUUCUUGUAGAGACCCGUGCACAACUACAAUGAAUAUGAAAUGUUUUCGGGCGAAGUCGAGAUUUUUCUCACCCGCUUUGGUUUAUUGUGUGUUUUUGUCAACAUAUUAACAAGGUGAGAAGUACAAGAGCGGCGACUUAUUUACACUGUUAUGCAGCGACUUGUUUGAAAGGGAAUGAGCGUGACAUCACAAGUCGAAUUUUUAUACAAUUGGAGUUUAGUCGGUUAUAUAUAAUAUAUAUAUAUAUAUGAGCACUUUCAUUGAGAA